rnacentral:rRNA from 1 species
UACGUAGGCAGCAAGCGUUGUUCGGAGUUACUGGGCGUAAAGGGUGUGUAGGCGGUUGUUUAAGUUUGGUGUGAAAUCUCCCGGCUCAACUGGGAGGGUGCGCCGAAUACUGAAUGACUAGAGUGCGGGGAGAGGAAAGUGGAAUUCCUGGUGUAGCGGUGAAAUGCGUAGAUAUCAGGAGGAACACCGGUGGUGUAGACGGCUUUCUGGACCGUAACUGACGCUGAGACACGAAAGCGUGGGUAGCAAACAGG